GAUGAACGCUGGCGGCGUGCCUAAUACAUGCAAGUCGAGCGAACAGACGAGGAGCUUGCUCCUCUGACGUUAGCGGCGGACGGGUGAGUAACACGUGGAUAACCUACCUAUAUUACUGGGAUCACUUCGGGAAACCGGAGAUAAUACCGGAUAAUAUCUUGAACCGCAUGGUUCAAUAGUGAAAGACGGUUUUGCUGUCACUUAUAGAUGGUUCCGCGCCGCAUUAGCUAGUUGGUAAGGUAACGGCUUACCAAGGCAACGAUGCGUAGCCGACCUGAGAGAGGGAUCGGCCACACGAGAACUGAGACACGGACCAGACUCCUACGGGAGGCAGCAGUAGGGAAUCUUCGGCAAUGGGCGAAAGCUUGACAGAGCAACGCCACGUGGGUGAUGAAGAUCUUCGGAUCGUAAAACUCUGUUAUUGGGGAAGAACAAAUGUGUAAGUAACUAUGCACGUCGUGACGGUACCUAAUCAGAAAGCCACGGCUAACUACGUG
rnacentral:rRNA from 1 species